rnacentral:rRNA from 1 species
UACGGAGGGUGCAAACGUUGUUCGGAUUUACUGGGCGUAAAGCGCGUGUAGGCGGCUUUGCAAGUCGGAUGUGAAAGCCCACGGCUCAACCGUGGAAGUGCAUCCGAAACUGCAUGGCUUGAGUCUCGGAGAGGAAGGUGGAAUGCUUGGUGUAGAGGUGAAAUUCGUAGAUAUCAAGCAGAACACCUGCGGCGAAGGCGGCCCUCUGGACGAUGACUGACGCUGAGACGCGAAAGCGUGGGGAGCAAACAGG